rnacentral:tRNA from 1 species
GAGCUGAAGGCUCUAAUAUGAAGCAAUGACCUUGUAAGUCAAAGACAGGUUAACAGCCCUA